GACGAACGCUGGCGGCGUGCUUUACACAUGCAAGUCGAACGGUGAAGGUGGAGCUUGCUCCGCCGGAUCAGUGGCGAACGGGUGAGUAACACGUGGGCAACCUGCCCCUAACUUUGGGAUAACUACUCGAAAGAGUAGCUAAUACCGGAUAUGAAGUCUGUAGGCAUCUACGGAUUUGGAAAGUUUUUCGGUUAGGGAUGGGCCCGCGGCCUAUCAGCUUGUUGGUGAGGUAGUGGCUCACCAAGGCGACGACGGGUAGCCGGCCUGAGAGGGCGACCGGCCACACUGGGACUGAGACACGGCCCAGACUCCUACGGGAGGCUGCAGUGGGGAAUAUUGCGCAAUGGGCGAAAGCCUGACGCAGCAACGCCGCGUGCGGGAUGAAGGCCUUCGGGUUGUAAACCGCUUUCAGCAGGAAAGAAGCGAAAGUGACGGUACCUGCAGAAGAAGCACCGGCUAACUACGUGCCAGCCGCCGCAGUAA
rnacentral:rRNA from 1 species